AUUGUUUAUAUGACAUAUAGUGUCUUUUUUGUAUUUGGCUCUACAUAGACCUCUGAAGUCUCUUAAGUAUGUGUGUAAAAGGACAGUUUUUUAGAGUGAAGAAAAAGUGGAAUUUAAGAUGGUUGACUGCAUGUAAUUAGCUUCCAGUAAUGGAUCACAGUUCAGGCAGCCAUCACCCACAAAGUUACUGUAUAGCAAAAUUGCUGGAGUCAGCAGGCUUCUGGAAAAUACCCACCACUAUUGUCUAAAUGCUUGUGUUCCAGUAUUUUUCCACAAUUAUUUUUGUUUCUGCAGCAUUGUGUUCUCUCUGUGAGCACCACUGUGGAGGUGAUUGUUUUGGGAGGAAUGAGCUCUGAAUUUCCAAGCUGUCCUGAGGGUGUGGAAAAAAGGUCUUUCAUGGAAAAUACCUCAAUUAAAAAUAUGACAGUACAUAAUCGUGGACCUGAGGAGACCUGACACACAUUUCACUCCUGGCCCCUGACUGCCUGGGUGCUGGAUUGAGCUCAACGGAGAACCAGCUUUUCCACACAAACUGAGAAGAUGCCUGAGCUGCGUGGGCCGCCCGAAUUCAGGGAGAGUGAGCAGAUGGCACCCUGAGCUCGCUGCAGGCCUGGUGAUGCUGUUCCUGAUGAACUUGGUUUGAAACACUAGUUCUCAUCCCUUGUGGAAAACCACAGUGGUUCAUGACACAUGGACCUCAGCUGUUCCAGCUUCCUGCUCCCAUACACGUGUGUGUGUGUUUGUGCACUUGUGUGGGUGCAGCAACAUUUGACUCAGCUAGGUCUUGCUGGUGGGAGAGCAGAAUUUCUGUGCUGGACUCACUGUGUGAGUUAUUGUGUAUACAGAUGAUAAUAUUGGAUGGCAACAAUAUCCCUGGGAAGCUCUCUGCACACUUGUUGGAGAGUGGGUGGGAGAGGGUCAGAGGCUGCUUGCCAUAAUCAUGUGCUAUUGCAGUAUUCAUAUAAGUGGUUCGUGUUUAUUCUGUUUUCUCUUUUCUUACUGGUUUAAUACUGGAGCCUCUUCUGUAAAAAUGAAGGAGUAAUUAAAUCAUUGCUUAUCAGUAA